CAUCUUUCUUUUACAGAUGAGAAAGCCAAGGCAGAGUAAAGAAAUGACAUUCCCAGGUAACACAGCUGGUAAAUGGUACAGGACCUCACCCCAGGCUAGCUGAUUGGAGGGUUCAUGCCCUUAACAACUUCCUUCUACUGCUUCUCUGCAGAACAUGGCCCUAACGGUGGGCAGGGUGAAACUGAGGAACACAGCAGGAAGCUGAUUUAGGCAAACUCAGCAGGAAGUGUUCCCUGUGAACCCAUGAGACUUCAUCCCUGCAUUGGUCUGGCUGGCUUUCCCUGUGAGAAUUAGGUUCCUCCUGAAGAGCUGAAGCUCCAUUCCAGCUCUAGACUUCUCCUUGCUUUCAGACUUCAAGAUGAGAAGCAUUUUUCCAGUCCACAAGUGUUAGAGGACGCUGCCGAUGAUGUGUGUUUUGCCCAGGCUGGACUCAGCUUCGUCUUGCAGCCUGGCGAAGAGGCAGUGCUGUGCCAGGAAAUAGCACCCAGGCAGGACUCCAGGGUGGGGACCGCUAAUCUGGCUUUGCCACAGUUUUGAAAGAAGAGUCAUGCUUCAAUUAAUAACAGACAACGGAGUCAAUAUGAUGGGAGCAGAGACAAUGAUGUGAUCAAAUGCCAAGAAAUGACUGACAGCAGAAAAAAUAUCAUGACCACUGUGGGAGGAGGUACUUUCUCUUUGUCAGAAGAACAGAAGCAAAUGGUCUGCUUAUAGCCUUUUAUGUGACGAUGUGCCCUUUUUGCCACUGCAAAGGAAAGAGUCAUCUUUGCUCCUCCAUUUUGGUUUAUCCUAAGAAAGACCAACACUAUGUCUAGCCCAGAGAGAGAAACACAUAAAAUAAAUACAAGUUAAAUCUUCAAUGGGACAUCAAGUUCCACGUACAAGGCUAACCUAGACUAUAAAG